rnacentral:lncRNA from 1 species
UGAUAUUGAAAGAGAAAACAGCAAAGAUGGUAAACAUGAUUGGUAUUAAUUAGGCAUGUUUAUCCUUGCUAUUUAAUAUUUAUUUAUAUUCAUAAAUGAGUGUAAUAUUAACUUUGCUAUUUAAUAUUUAGUUAUAUUCAUAAAACAUUAAAAAAAUUAAAUGUAGCCAUUUACCUUAAAUAUAUAUUGAUGUUUGCUAUAUUCGGUAGUUUUUCCAAUAAAUAAUGGCAACAACAAGAGAAUGCCCAAAUUUGGGUCAAAUCUAUUGGACCCUUGGUCCACACCUGUCCUAAAUUUUAUAAGUGGGCCUGCUGAAAGUUCAAAUGGAUUCUAGCUCAUUUGCUUCUUUUUCAACCUGUUACCUAAUCACAUAGGACUGCUGCACAAAAGAAUUGGGCUUUAGGCCCAUUUUUGCCCCAAAGACCUGUGUAUACAUUAAAGUGUAUAUCGAUGUAUAUAGGCCAUAUUUUGACUCAUUUUCAUGUAUAUCGGAAUGUUUACCAAGUGUAUACUACCCUCUUCAGCCUUCAAACACCUGUAUCAAUUUUUUGACCCCGUGCUUCUGUAUUCCGACUUGUAUACCAAUGUACACCCGAUGCAUAUAUAUCCAUUUCUGGACUUUUGAGAUUUUGCAAACUACCUAUGUCCAUGUACUUUGAUUUAGACUCGAAAAGAAUAAGAUUUAAGCCUCCUUGGCUCAAAAUGAAAUGCACGGGAGUAAAUGAAAGAGUCCAAUGGACUCUCACGAGUUCAUGCAAGAAAAACAAAAGAGAGAAUAAUUAGUAGAUGACUAAAAGUAAACUGAUUCAAAUAUAAGUAUCAACCAAAUUAAACAAAAAGAUAUUUAAGCACAAUGAGGUCUCCACAGUGAAGGAACAAAGAGACACAAUUCUCAAUCAAUCAAUUUAAAAGCUAAACAUUUCUAUCCCUUGAAAGUCAAUAAGAGAUGGCGACAGAGACAACAAAAUAUUAUAACAAACUUUAGCACAAUUUUAUGCACUUAGGCAUGCAUUCAAAAUAAGCAAGCAAUAUAUUGAUUUGAGUAUGAACCGACCAACUGAAUAGGUGAAACCUUUUUCACUAGAAAAGCUAAUAAAAUGAUGUAGGCAGUCAUUCACAGAACAUUCACAAGAAGAUGCCUCGAUUUUGAUAGUGAGAAUUUAACACAAGAGAAAAUGUUCCAGCAACUUGAAACAGAUAGCUUUUCGACUCAUUUUAAACUCACCUUUAACCAAAUCGAACUCAUCAAAAGCUAACUAGGAGUGAAAGUUAACAAAGAAUAUACAACCAAUACUAUUAGAAACAAGAUUUUAGAGAUGCGAAAUACUAACAGAGGGACUAGGAUAUUUAAUUCUGAAUGUAAAAGCACAUGCAUACCGAAAGAAAAAUAAAGCAGUAAGGCAUCCGACUCAUACGAAUUAUACUAACUGAAACAAGCAGAGAAUGAGAAAAACAUGUAUAUCAGAUUAUGAAAACCAAAAUCACCUAUAGAAGGUGAUUUCGAACUUCAUGACUGAAUCCCCAAUUUUCUCUGCCAACCAAACGAGACAAUCAGUGAAAUAAGAAAACCUCAUAAACAAAAAAAAAUGGAAGUCACGACCAUACGGAAUAAACAAAGUUCAAAGCAAAUUACACCAAACCACAACAAUCGAAUAACAAACAAGUUACAACACUGAUCUGCAGCUGACGACAAGUCAAAAUGCUUUCAAAAUUUAACAUUCUGAACCCUCUAUGCAGCCCAAGAUCAAACAUUCAUCAUAUUAAAAUAAGAGAGACAUAAAUCAAAACGAGUGUUACCUUUUCGAGGGCAGAGAAUAGAGAUUAUGGGCUAGCAAGAGCGAUAUUUUACCACAAUGAGCUCGGUUUUGAAAAGUAGGGUCGACACCUAUUAGGAAAUAGAGCUAAACUUCUAAUUUUUGACGAUUUUCAAGGGGUCUAAGAUGUUUUUUUCCAAAAUCUCUCCCUCUCAUAGUGAAGAUGAAGAGUAUUUAUAGGAGAAGAUGGGGCAGAACUAGGGGAACACCGGGAGAAAUAGGAUGAGAUUUAAUUUCAAAAUUCGAAUUGCUCUAAGAGAGAAGGUUUGAGGAGCUGGAAUAGUACCAAUUACCAACGGAAUUUGAAGAACUUUCGUCCGAUCUUGAGCCAAGGACAAACAAGGCAGCAAAUUGCUCCACCUGGAUGAUUCGAGUACGAUUUGCGUACGGAAAGAAAAAGGACAGAGGAGAAGGAACGCGCGACUGGACUCGGGUUUGUUCUCGUUGGAUCGCUGGGUUGCUGGGAUUUUCUUGAAGCUUAUAGGUUUAACAGAUGGGUCGUAUUGUUGGGUUUCAUCAUUCUUCUGGGAAGAAGAAGCGUACAAGGGUGGGGUCUGUAUCGGUAUUGUAUUGUUGUUGUAUGGGUUAAGGUCUUUGGUAUUGUAAUUGGUGGGCCUGGGUUGGUUGAGAAUUAAGAGAAAAUUGGGCUGGGCUUUUGGUGGGCUACUGUAUUCGUAAGAAAAUGAUUUGAAGGUAGCAAUUUGGGUCACUUUGGGGAUUUGAAAAGGAAGCAUAGUGUGGUCAACUUGAAUUUAGAAAAUAACCACAUGAAUUGAAAUCUUAAUCAAAUUGGUGCAAUUGGCUAAAUUCGACCCAAAAAUUAAAAUAAGAUGAAUUGUUCUCAAUUAAUUAACAAGCUUCUUAAUUUUUAACAAAAUAAAAUAAUUAACUUAAUUAAACUAAUUAAUUCGAAAAUAUUAACCAACAAUUAAUUAAACUAAUUGACAAAAGUUUAAAAAGAACUAAAAUCUUUUUGAGACGAUUUUUGAAUAUUCACAAAAUAUACUAAUUAAAUACAUAAUUAUAUAAAAAUCAUAUUUUUUAUUUAAAGAUUGUAAAAAUUGACUAAAUUACUUAAAAUAACUUUGAAACGUGUUUGAAUUUUAUAAAGCUAAUUAUUCUAAAUCGUUUGAAAGUCAAGAAGCUCGAGAUUUAAUUAUAUUGUGGAGGUCCAAAAUUGGGUGUCAACCACUGUCCCUCAUUUGAGUUGGAUUAAUGAAAGAAAUCCAAGGUGAAUGAAAUUGACAAAUCUAAUUUUGACCGAUCACAUCUUCAUCUUUCAGAAAAAAGCUUUUGGUACGAACUUUAGGAAUUAUGGCCAAACCCCGAAAAUGGAUUUCCUACAUAUCUCAGGCUAUAUGAGAAUUCAGGCCACUUGUAGAUCGAUACGCUUGAUUCGACGCACGAUUUUGAAAGAAUUCAAAAGAUAUCCCGAUAUCGAAUUAUGAAGAGAUCGAAAUGCUCGGGACUAAUAUUUGAGAGAGAUUGUUGGAAUACAGCCGAGUUUUCUACAUUGAGACCUCUUACAUAUCCUUAAACCCAAGGAAUCAGGCUGCUUGUAGUUCGACUCGAUCGGUUGAAAAAGGAAAUCUAUUAUUCUAGACAACCUUCGAUUCUCGAGGAGUGACAAAUAAGUCGAGUAUGAAAAAUAGUCUUACAACCUCUUAGCCAUGAAUGUGGUGCAUUUCACACCCAUAAGUAAGAAUUUACACGAACAUAAUUACCAAAGCUUUUGUGCUCGAAUUGGAAAGUUGCAUCCGGUGAACAUCAAGAACUUUCUGGAUGCAAAACUGAAACCGAUAAACUUAUGAAAAACCUGCAUGCCUUCUGAUAGGGGUGUAGUUUGAUUGUGGUGGAAGUCGUUCCUCAACUAGUAUCCUAAGAGUUUGACACUCCUCUUUGAACUACGUCCCAGUUCGCUGCUAAGAAAAAUUUCCACGUUAUGCUGCAUCCUUAUUGAUAUCGUCCGCACCUAUAGUUUGAUUUGAGAGUUCAUCCUUUUGGAUGCUCUCGACAAAGACUGAAAUAAACUUGUUAGUAGAAACUGUAACUGAAAAAGUGGUAGCAUCUCUUACGAUGCUUUUCAGUUACUCUUGCUGUGAAAGAUAUCACAUAAGUAUGUUCAGUAUAUGUUUGCACACUCAAAGUAAAUAAUUAGUAGACAUAGUGCCGCUCUAGCUAGCGGUUUAAGUAAAAAAUAAAGAAAGACCAUUCAUAUAACAAAUCAAUAUAUAUUUAUGAAUAAGCAUAAACAUUUUUUUCAACUAGAUGAGAAAAUAAAAAAGUAUUGAGAGUAAAAGAUAAUGGAUAUUGCUUUCAAACACAGUAUAUCCAUUACAACUCAUGAUUUGUUGCGGAUUUGGAGAUGUCAUUGCUUGUUUUCUGCAUGGCAAACUUCGAUAAUCUCUGCAAUGAGCUAGUUGGCUCAAUGAUUAUCCAACUGUAACGAGGUGGAUGGCUCGAUGAAUAUUCGCUCCUCACCUUGCGCUAAGGAAAAGUUCUAUAUUGUGUUGUAUCUUUUCUGAUGUUGUCUGUACCUGUGGUUUGAUUUGAGAAUUCAUCUUCUUGGAUGUUCUCGACAAGGAAUGAAAUAAACUUGUUAGCAGAAACUAUAAUUUAAAUGGAGAAGUGAUACGUUUUAUCGUAUUCAACAAAUAUUCUUUUCUAUAAAUAUUCUGACGUCAGCCUCCAUCGGUUUUGACGCAGUAGAUGAUAAUUUAAUAUGAUGUGGAUGACGAUGCUCCAUUUAUAGGAUGAUGAUGAUCCAUUGGUAGGAUAAUGCUGCUACAUGAUAGGACGAUGACGUCAAUGCUCCGUUGAUAGGAUAAUGAUUGAUGAUCCAUUGGCAGGAUGAUGUUGAUGCUCCAUUGAUAGGAUAAUGAUGCUUCGUUGAUGAUCCCUUGGUAGGAUGAUGUUGAUCCAUUGACAGGAUAAUGUUAAUCCAUUGAUAGGAUGCACAUUUGUUGAGAGUGAUGAUUUCACUUGUUCAUAUGUGAACAUUUGUACUCAUUGUGACUCAUGCUUUGCUGGGAAUUUGACCGAUGUGUUGUUGCUUGUAUUCUGAAUUAUUUCUUUUUUUUUCUAGAAAAAAACUUCAAUGACUUUCCUGCAUCUACAGAAAAUUUAUCAAUUUUAGAGAGCUCCUCGCCCUUUUGACUUCUCCAUAUUCAUUGAAUGGAGGAAUAUGAUGACCUUGAGGCAAACUUAUAAACCUGCAUCCACAGAAAAAUUGUUAGUUUUAAAACAAACUGAUCUGUGUUGAGUUCUUCAAUCGCUUGCUCCUUAUCUUGCUAUCUUCGGUUGAUCACUCCGAUCUCUUGCUCCUCGAUAGACAUAAGAUAAACAUUUUCAUGCAAAAAUACUGAAAACAAAUUUUUUAAAAAAGGAAAAUAGAUUUUCAAAAGUAAUAUUUGGAAAAAGUCAUUGUCAAGUGUCAUGUCACGUCAAGCUUAAUGAACGUCUUUGAAGUUGAUGCCUCGAGGUCUAUUUGAUAAUUUGCUGGGAAGUAUUUAAAGUUGCACUAAAUUGCCAAUGAACAUUAUUGAAAUUUUUGAGGUUAUCCUUAAAAAUUUCUGUCCCAGUUAACUAUCUUGGCGCAUACUGAACUGUUGACAAACAAAUCAUGGAAUGUUUUGAGAUCCUCUCAAAAAAUUCUAUCCCAGUUGCAAUUUUCAAUGUAACUUUAGUCUCGAAUUGUUGGAGAGAUCUUUCUCUUGAGAAUUUUUGAGUCCCUCUCAAAAAUUCUGUCCUUGUUUCUAUUGUAAAGAAAAAUAGAAAUCUUAUGAGAGAUAUAAUCGAGAUGUUGUGGUGCCUACGUAUUCAUUCUUGAGAAUUCCAGUCGAACGUAGUUUCCCUUCUCGCGGAUUAACAAAAAUAAGAACAUAAAGCAAGGAACCAACCGAGGCCGAUAUAGGCCGCCAACGUAUCUCAUUCUUAAGAAUUUAGGUCGAACGUAGUUCAUUACAAAAUAUAAUUUUCUAACUACAGAACAUAAGGCAAUUACAAAUAUACGAUGCGAUUUAAGGGAAAGAAAUAAGCAACUCUGAAUCUUCAAAUAUAAUUGCUAUUGAUAGUAUCUGAGUCGAUUGACAACUUGAGAUGAAUGUCUAUGUUCAACUAUGACAUGUGAUCAAACAAAUGCAUCGAUAUAUUUUCCAAGUGAACUAUUGAGUUCUCUUUUCCGAGUUUCUCUCAGAUGGAUUCUGAUUCUGACUUCUUUGACACAGUCAUCCUUUUGUAGAUUUACAGUUUCUGUCUCAUCCUGAUUCUACUUAUAUUGAGUUUCGAACUGUUUCAAAUCUUUGACAAGGCGUUCAACUAUCAUGAUCUCAUCAAUACACUCUUCAAACUCAUCUUUAUCUACCUGGUUUUGUUCAUUCAGCUUGUGAUAUGACAUGAUAUUAACAUGUUUAAAAAAUUAUUUUUUUACUGAAACCAAAAACAAAGACUGUUAGAUAGAAAAAUUAAAGCAAGCAAGAUAAAUUUUUACAAUAGAAGAGACUCUCAUUGAAAAUAAGGAAAUACGAACUUUGGCUAUUACCAUGAUCCAUUUUACGUUUUUAAAAACAUUACAAUGGAAUUAAAAUAUAAUUAGGUAAAAUAUCACAGUGGGUUUUGGGUCUCAUUCGGACUAUCCCCGAUUUUAAAAAUAGCAUAAGAUUCAUCUUUGUCUAUCAAGAUAAACGAGAAAUCAAGAGCGGAGUGAAAGUCCAAUUAAGAACUUGCUCCAUUGGCUCGGCAUCUCGUAUGCUUGGUGUCUCGAUCAUCUUCUUGGGCACAAAAUCACAUUCUUCAAAAAAAUCCCCAAUUUCUUCUCCAAAACCGUCAUCAUUGACAUAUUCUCCUACCAGAAAGGACUGGCAUAAAUGAGGCACAGACCUUGGUGGAACAUGAUUAAUCCUCUUCUUGUUCUGGACCUCUCUUGACACUAAAGCAAAAGCUUGAUGGGGUGUCAUGAUCGUAAAAUUGAGUUUCUCACGUAUGUUUGGAGAAGCUACAAUUUUCUCAAGAUUAUCAGCACUAGCCGAAACUAUCACUUUUACCAUGCACCACUCAUCUUCUAUCUAUAUCAUAUUGAUAGUGGCGCCUCCACAGUUCAGUAAGGGAUUAUUGUUGACGUUGGGUACAGUGGUCUUGACCACUUUCUGGUCGAUCAAGUCCUGGAUCAUGUGCUUCAAAUUAAUACAUUCUCCAGUAUCAUGCCAAUCACCGUUGGAAUGAUACGCACAUCUUCGAUAGGCUCGGUAAAAUCUUGAGCUAGUAUCGACUGGCUUAGGCUUGACUGGAUGAAUAAUACCUACCACAUUUAAUCGCUCAAACAACUUCAUUUGACUUUCAAUAAGAAGAGUAAACUUUCGAGCUUGUUUCUUCUCAAGAUGUGGACGAGGGGGAUUAUAACUGCUUUGCUGAGAGGAAGGUAGUUACUGAUAAUUCAGAGUAUUCUGGCAGGGAUGUGCUUGAAACUUUGGGUCAAUCAUGUUAAUAACCAAUCCUUCACGAUUCAACAGUGAAUUACCAUUGGCAUAGGAAGUGACAUCUUGUAGAGUGACAAUUCUUUGAUCAAUCAAGUCCUGAAUUUUAUGCUUCAAGUUGAUGCAAUUCUCAGUGGUAUGUCCAGCACCCCCUGAAUGGUAAGCACAAUGAAGGUCAGACCUGUAAAGUCUGGAAUUGACAUUUACAUUUUUUGGAUCAAUUGUUUGUAUUAGACCAGCCAUUUUCAAUCUCUCAAAGAGUUGGGUUCGACUUUCAACCAAAGAAGUAAAGACUCGAGAAGGUUUCUUCAAAAACUCCUAACAAGAAAGAUUGUAAUUAUUUCGUAAAUAUGGAGGUACUUGGCGGUAACUGGGAGGAUUUUGACGAGUAGGUACUGGUGUUUGAAAAUUUGGGUAUUGUGGAGUUUGGUAGCUAGGAGGGGCAUUUGGGUAACUUGACAAUGAUAUUUGGUAACUUGAUUGAACAUUUAGGUAAUUUGGCAAUUGAGCUUGGUAAUUUGGAUAAUUUGGUGGUGGAGCCCAGUAAUUUAACUGGAUGGGGUGAGGAUUUUGUGAAGCUAAAUGGUAGGUUUUGAAUGGUAAAGGCUUUCGAACAUUGACACUGGCAUGCCUCUUUGAACUUUGGCUCGAUUCAAAUAAGAUAGAGAAAACAUCUUCCCUCUUCCUCCUCAACGGUCCCGAGGAUUCAUAUUGAGGAGUCAUUUGGAUGAUUUUUCGGAUGUUGACACCGUCUUCAAUAACUUCACCAAUUUUGACUAUCUCACUGAACUUUCCUCCUAAAAUAAGCAACAUUAUAUUAUAGUACUCUGGCUCUUGAAUGCGCACGAAGACUUCAAUUAUUUCUUUCUCGUUCAUGGGAGGCCUAACCUUCGCAGCCUCUCUUCUUCAAUGAUAGGCAUAUUCUUGGUAGCUUUCGGUAGAAUUCUGUUUUAUAUUCUUUAAAGAGUAUCGAUCAGGGAUGAAUUCUACAUUGUAACCAAACCUUUCAAUGAAGUCUUUAGCCAAAGCGUUCUAACUUGGCCACUGCUUGAUUUCUUUAGAAAUAAAUCAUUCAAUGCUUCUUUUUUUAGACUUCGACUAAAGAGUCGCAUUAACAAAACAUCAUCUCUCCCAACUUCAAUAAGUUGAUCACAAUAAGCCCUCAAAUGAGUCAAAGGAUUUUCAACUCCACUAAAAGUGUCAAAUUUUGGUACUUUAAAACCUUCUUGAAGCUCCAAAUGUGUAUGACGACACAAAUCUUCAUAAUUCAACCUCACAAUGACUGGGGUGUAUUGAAUGUCCUUCAUUGCAUUCAUAACUUCCUUUCUGAUGCUUUGCUCAAUCUUUCCUUUUAUGAUCAUCCACUCAUUCUUCUUCUUCUCACAAUCAUUGAGUUAAAAAUGUGUAGUAGAGAAAAUGUAUGAUUCUGGCGAUAUUGGAAAAUGAAAUGCGGUUUUGGAGGUAUGGGUUGAGUGCCAGAUGGGUUUUGGAAAAUUUGAGUAGAGAUUUGAUGGAUCGGAGGAAAAUUUUGGAAAACGUUGGUAUUUGGAUUUUAAGGAGUAUGUAACUUCUGGUGUGAUGAGCUAGCAUGAUAUGGAUUAGAGGUGGUUAAAUUGUUUGGAAAACGUUCGGAUGUUGGAACUGAAGUAGGAAAAUGGAGUGGUUGCCUUUCGUUGUCUAGAGUAGGAGUGUUGGCAAUGAUAGCUAGAUUUCUCAAAUCUCGGGUCUUAUCCAUUUCAGCCCUGAUUUCAGCAAUCUGUUGGAACAAUUGUGCAAUUAACUAGUUCUGUUCAGCAAUGAUGGGGUCAUUCAUAGUAAUUUUGGUCAAAUCAGUAUUCUCAGCAUUUUCAAUCGCUUUUUCUUUGCCUUUUGACAAACAUUGAUCGGAGAAGGAAUCUUUGGGGUCUUUGGACCUUGUGAAGUAUGGAUGUUCUGUCAUUUUCUCAACACAGAUCAUUUUUGAGUACAUGACAAAGAAAAUCAACUCAAAGGCAAAUGUGUUAGUCUGUGUCGAUGAUAAAUAAUACAAAAUAUCAUACACAUUACUAUAAACACAUAAGAGUUGCUUCAUUUGAAGAUAAACUAUCCCACAUAUAUAGAGAAAUGACUAAAUAGACAGAAAUUUGUCUAUUUGAUUUUGACCUUAUUGAAUCAGAAAUGUGGACUUGAGUCGAGACAAAGUCGAGUGUAUUCUUUGUUGUCGUACUUCUAAUUUUUGAUUGAGAUGUAACUCUAAUUUCUGUGUAAGAGUUGAAAAAUAUAAAAUUUCUCAAAAAUGGGGACCGAACCUUGAAAGGUUGCCUACGUAUCUCACGAGAGGGAAUUCAGGUCCAACGUAGUUUGACCCACUUGAAUCUCUUUCGAUUUGAGACGAAAAAUCUUUUUUUGAUAUGAGAGGAUAACAUUUGAAAACUGAAGAUCGAAUUAAUCGAAUUUUGUUAGGAAACUAAAGACUCAAUAAACAUUUGGACGCACUUUCAAUAGUGACUUGAUAUUUAUGCUUAGGGGUUCUAAAAAUAAUUCGUGGAGGGGGUGAACAAAAAUAUCUUCAAAGAAAGCAACAUAUUCACACAAGUAGUUAUAACACAUAAACAAUUGUGCGUUCUAAGCAGAUAUGUGACCCUUUUGUUCCAAGAGUAGGCCUAAUGAUUUGAAGGAUGUAUAACAUCGUUUGAAACAUUCUAUUGCCCCAAAAUCCAAUACACAAGUUUUAUGAAUAAACUGAGUGGGGAUACAUAAUAGGGGAAAUGAGAUACAAAAUAAUCAGUCCCGCGCAGGGGUACAAUCCUAACUAUGCUUCAAUGGAAAGAUCCUUCGUUCUUGAUUUUUUUUGUCAUUUCCGGAUGCUAACAUCUUCAGAUGCAAUGGUAACUUUAUCCUUCUUCAAUUCGAACGAACUAUUAAAAACUCUACCCCAAUAGACAAUGGUUUGCCAAAUGACGUAUACAACCUUCAAAUUUAAACACAUAAGCAUGAUUGUCUUUUAUUGACCAAUGAAUCAAAUAGACACAAUGUGGGUUUCUAAUGGGCCCAACAUGCUUUGGGUGUUGGGUCAACUUAGUUCAAAAUGCGCUAAAUUCGAGAUUUGGUUUCGUUCUACGCUAAUUGACUAAGAGUGGCUUUUAAAAGACAGAAAACCCAAGUGGACAACUUAGGCUGGAACUCAUGACAACCAUUGAACGCAUGACGUACCUAUAAAUUGCCGAUCAUUCCGAAAAUGGGUCAAGUAUAAAAAGUUCGACUGCGAUUAUGUAGAAACUGUCAUUUAUAUACUACUAUAGAAAAUGUCAAAAAUGCAAUGACAUUUAUAAAAAUUUAAACGCAUUAAGCACAGAUAAACAAUUCAACAAUUAAUAUUAAUUAGUCAAAUUUUAUGGUUAGAACUUAAUUAAAUUUUCAGCAGAGUCGCCAUUUCUGUUUUACUCGAAAAUAAAAUAAAAAUAGACUUGUUUCGAAAAAUUGACUAAACUUAUAGUUUGAAUGGAAAUCGAUUUUAAAAAAAAAACAGAGUCGCCACUUAAUUUUUUAGUAAAAAUCAAGAAAAAACUUAAGGUUUUCAAAAAACGUCAGCAGAUAAAAAUCAAUUGAAAUAAAAAGGGUUCGAGUUCAAUAUACAUUUCGAGAAGGUGUUAGGCCCUCGAAAUGUCCGCUAACUUGCAAUUGACCGACGAUUCGACCAAAUUUGACUAAUUUUAGAAAAAAUAAAUUAAGUAAUAAAAUUCAUAUUUUAUAGGAAGAGAAAUAAACUAAAGGGAAUUUUUUAAGAUAAUUAAUUCAUAUGUUGUAAGACUACUAAAAUAAAAUAAAACUAAGUAAUAAAAUAUGAAUAUGAAUAUUUAAAUUUGAACAUAAAACUAGACAUUGCUAUCUUUUGGGAAUUAAUUAAGAUAAAAGCAAAUCACAUAAAAAGGGUUAGAGAGUUGAUACAAACAAAUAAAUAAUGAUAAUAACAAGAGAAUGCCCAAAUUUGGGCCAAAUCUAUUGGACCCUUGGUCCACACCUGUCCUAAAUUUUAUAAGUGGGCCUGCUGAAAGUUCAAAUGGAUUCUAGCCCAAUUGCUUCUUUUUCAACAUGCUACCUAAUCACAUAGGACUGUUGUAGAAAAGAAUUGGCCUUUAGGUCCAUUUUUGCCCCAAAGACCUGUGUAUACAAAAAAGUGUAUAUCGAUGUAUAUAGGCCAUAUUUUGACUUAUUUUUAUGUAUAUCAGAAUGUAUACCAAGUGUAUACAACCCUCUUCAGCCUUUGUAUCAAUUUUUUGAUCCCGUGCUUCUGUAUUCCGACUUGUAUACCAAUGUACACCCGGUAUAUACAUAUCCAUUUCUGGACUUUUGAGAUUUUGCAAACUACCUCUGGCCCUGUACUUCGAUUUACACUCGAAAAGAAUAAGAUUUGAGCCUUCUUGGCUCAAAAUGAAAUGCACGAGAGUAAAUGAAAGAGUCCAAUGGACUCACUCACGAGUUCAUGCAAGAAAAACAAAAGAGAGAAUAAUUAGUACAUGACUAAAAGUAAACUGUUUCAAAUAUAAUUAUCAACCAAAUUAAACAAAAAGAUAUUUAAGCACAAUGAGGUCUCCACAGUGAAGGAACAAAGAGACACAAUUCUCAAUCAAUCGCUUUAAAAGCUAAACAUUUAAAUUCCUUGAAAGUCAUUAACAGAUGGCGGCAGAGAUAACAAAAUAUUAUAACAAACUUUAGCACAAUUUUAUGCACUUAGGCAUGCAUUCAAAAUAAGAAAGCAAUAUAUUUAUUUAAGUAUGAACCGACCAACUGAAGUUUUCGGCAAACUCUAACU